AGAUGGGACCCAUCCUCAUCUGGAAGGCACCAUUUAUUGCAGCUAAACGAUGUUGAGGUGUGCAGUUAUGGUAAUAAAAUGCAAGCUGUAGUCCUGAGUCAGUGUAGCAGACUGUUGACAUUAGGUAGAGUCCAAAUCCAUCCUCAAAGCUCCAGUGUUACUUCUGUAAUUUCAUGCAUUCCCAGGCUGUAGAUGUGAAACAUCCCCAGCUGGCCUUCGAUCAAAGAGAACACCAUCCAGAGGCAGGCUGGGACAAAGAGGACAGAUCCGAGGGGGGAGGCAGAAACACUGGUCACUGGUACCUUAGGAUCAUGUUUAACAUGAACGAGAGAGAGAGAGAGAGAGAGAGAGAGAGAGAGAGAGAGAGAGAGAGAGAGAGACGAGGGGUGACAGGGAGAGAAAGCUAUGGGUUAUUAAGUAUCCUUAUUGUUGUAUAAUAGUUCAGGGCAAUGUUCAGUUGUGUCCUUUGGCAAAACUAGCUAUGGCAGCAUCCUUCCUACCAAAAAAAGGUUUGCCUAAAUAAAUAUGUUUUCAGCCUCAACUUGAACACUGAGACUGUGUCUGAGUCCUGAACACUGAUUGGAAGGCUGUUCCAUUAUUGUGGGACUUUAAAAGUGAAAAAUCUGCCCCCUGCUGUAGUCUUCAUUAUUUGAGGUACCAACAAAUAGCCUGCACCUACCAUUGUGUAUCAUCAAAAGAAACUAAUAACAUGCUACAUAUAAUUUCACCCAGAGGCAGAAUAUAUAAAGAGCAAAGAAUGGACCCCUGUCCUACACUAUAAUCCACAGUGUUUUAAAAAGACCUCAUUGCUAAAUAUACCCAUGAUGCAGCAGUGUUAGUGGAACGUUCUGGUCAAUUUCUGUUUCUUUUGUUGUUGUUUUAGAGAUCGUGUUACUCUGCUCUUCCUCAGGUUUUGUACUUUCACUCCCUUCAUUGCAUAAUAGUGUGUGUUUCUGCUCUAACAUACACACCCAAACUCACACACACACACACACACACACACACACACACACACACACACACCCCUAUGCUACCCUCAUAAAAGACAUGUAGGAGUGGUGUGUUUGAGCUCAGUUACGGAUCCAGGAUUAUAAAUCUUUAGGAUUUCCAAUCAUAGACACUUUUAUAAACGUCUUUAGUGUAUAUGUGUGUGUGUGUGUGUGUGUGUGUUUGUAUGUUAACGUGGCAUGAUGUCGUCACACAGGGCGAGGACACCUUACUGUAUUGUAGCUGUUGGACUCGUUAAACAAGCAUAGGAAUGCAGCACAUCUCAGCUACUUUCUGCUUUUUGUUGCGCACUGAGGUCUGUUUGCCGGAGCGAUGGACUUCACCUCAUACGUGGGACGCUGUAUCGGCUUCUUCCUCCUGGCACUUGUCCUGGACAUCGCCGGCCUUGUCCUGUUUCUGCUCGGCAUCUUCGCCCCGCUCAGUUUCUGGGAUUUUUUUGUGCUCUCAGGGCCCAUCAUAAUCUUCCUCAGUCUCCUCUUCUGGAUCUUGUGGUACUUGGGGAAUCUGAACGUUCCUUACCAGCAGCUCCUGACCUAAAGGAAUGGAAGUGAUGGUGGGAAAAAAGGGAUUGGAACAGGGCCAAGGAACUGGGGACUCUCAGAGACAAAGAGGGGGAACCAAGCAUUAUAGGGGGUUUAUGAACUGAACAGAGGAAUUUGCUGCUGUCAUGACGUGUCCGAAAACUCCCUAAUUCAGCAAAACGCCUUACACAACUCCCCAGGACUUUAUCUGCAAUCUGAGCACUUUGUUUAAUGGGCGCUUGUUCUAAAUUUGGAGCGAAGCCUCAUCGGUGAUGUUACCGUUCUGUAUUUAAAUAUAAAGAAAAAUAAAUGUGAUUUUUAAUGUACGGACGUGAAGUGAAGUGGUGGAUCACAGAGUAUACAAAGAAUUCAUUGUAAACACUGGAAUGACGUUCAGAUUCCAGGUCAAAGCUGUCUAACUGGAAAAGCCGGUAUGUGUGUGUGUGUGUGUGUGUGUGUGUGUGUGCAUGGUUCGUGCAUGGUGUGUGUAUGUUGAAACGCACCUUGAACAACAUUUAGGAAGUUUCUAAAAUAAUACUACAGCAUUAUGACUGAGCGUAUUUGGUGUGUUAUGAUGAUGCUGCUGUUGUGAAAUUGUAUUAUCUGUACUUCCUGUUUACCUCUCUCUCUCUCUCUUAAUAUAUAUAUAUAUAUCCAUCUAUCUCUCUCUCUCUCUCUAUCUUUCUCUCUCUCUUUCUGCCUUACCUGAAAGAUUGUCUAGACUUUAUUGCUUUGGUAUCAGGACACACCUCCUAAACACAUUCCAUGUUAUGUCCUUGUGAGAGUAUCUCACAGCAGUUCUGGAUCAUGAUUGGUCAGAAGGCAUUGUGAGACACUGUGAGCUUUUUCACGCCAAUUUUCUGACUUUGCUAAUAUUUGCUUAAAUUUCAGCUAGCUACUACAUGAAGGUAAACCUUAAUAGCAGUACGUUUUUGUAGCAGGAAAUCAAACCUGAACAAUUCAAAGCAGCUAGCUGAUGCUACUUAUACUAGUAUUCAAGGCUGUGAUUGGCUUAUUGACCUAAUAAUCCACCCUGUUUGACCCCCUGGGACACCUCUCAGAAAACAGGGAAGCUAAAAACAUAUGUUGGUGUCUCUUAAUGACGCCAUUUAAUAUGACAUUGCAGGAUUCGAGCGAAGCUCAUGCAGAGGGUCCCUAAGGAGUGUUCAUGUUGCGGUUUAGGGCACGCCCUGAGCUUCACCAGGGCUUUCAUAGAGAAGCCACUAAAAGCUUUGUGAUGUAAUUACAAAGCGGUGUAAUGUGGAGUGUUAGACAUCGAUCUCUGACCUUAAUCGCUGCUUUUAAUAAACCAAACUGACCAAA